GACGAACGCUGGCGGCGUGCCUAAUACAUGCAAGUCGAGCGGACUUAAAAAGCUUGCUUUUUGAGUUAGCGGCGGACGGGUGAGUAACACGUGGGCAACCUGCCUGUAAGACUGGGAUAACUUCGGGAAACCGGAGCUAAUACCGGAUAAUCAUUUCCUACUCAUGUAGGAAAGCUGAAAGACGGUUUACGCUGUCACUUACAGAUGGGCCCGCGGCGCAUUAGCUAGUUGGUGAGGUAACGGCUCACCAAGGCGACGAUGCGCAGCCGACAUGAGAGGGUGAUCGGCCACACUGGGACUGAGACACGGCCCAGACUCCUACGGGAGGCAGCAGUAGGGAAUCUUCCGCAAUGGACGAAAGUCUGACGGAGCAACGCCGCGUGAGUGAUGAAGGUUUUCGGAUCGUAAAACUCUGUUGUUAGGGAAGAACAAGUACGAGAGUAACUGCUCGUACCUUGACGGUACCUAACCAGAAAGCCACGGCUAACUACGUGCCAGCCGCCGCCGUAA
rnacentral:rRNA from 1 species